rnacentral:tRNA from 1 species
GCGCGCGUAGCUCAAUCGGCAGAGCAGUAGCCUCUUAAGCUAACGGUUGGGGGUUCGAUUCCCUCCGCGCGCA